rnacentral:rRNA from 1 species
AUUGAACGCUGGCGGCAGGCCUAACACAUGCAAGUCGAGCGGAUGAAGGGAGCUUGCUCCUGGAUUCAGCGGCGGACGGGUGAGUAAUUCCUAGGAAUCUGCCUGGUAGUGGGGGAUAACGUCCGGAAACGGGCGCUAAUACCGCAUACGUCCUGAGGGAGAAAGUGGGGGAUCUUCGGACCUCACGCUAUCAGAUGAGCCUAGGUCGGAUUAGCUAGUUGGUGGGGUAAAGGCCUACCAAGGCGACGAUCCGUAACUGGUCUGAGAGGAUGAUCAGUCACACUGGAACUGAGACACGGUCCAGACUCCUACGGGAGGCAGCAGUGGGGAAUAUUGGACAAUGGGCGAAAGCCUGAUCCAGCAAUGCCGCGUGUGUGAAGAAGGUCUUCGGAUUGUAAAGCACUUUAAGUAGGGAGGAAGGGCAGUAAGUUAAUACCUUGCUGUCUUGACGUUACCAACACAGUAAGCACCGGCUAACUUCGUG